rnacentral:rRNA from 1 species
UACGAAGGGGGCUAGCGUUGCUCGGAAUCACUGGGCGUAAAGCGCACGUAGGCGGCUUCUUAAGUCAGGGGUGAAAUCCUGGAGCUCAACUCCAGAACUGCCUUUGAUACUGAGGAGCUCGAGUCCGGAAGAGGUGAGUGGAACUGCGAGUGUAGAGGUGAAAUUCGUAGAUAUUCGCAAGAACACCAGUGGCGAAGGCGGCUCACUGGCCCGGUACUGACGCUGAGGUGCGAAAGCGUGGGGAGCAAUCAGG